rnacentral:lncRNA from 1 species
CUAAACUAGAGAAAGAGAGAGUUCAGUUCAGUUCUCAUUCUUAAUUUUAAUAGUUUUGUUCUUCUGUUUGGUGCUUUUACGCAAUGGCUAUCAAGGAGAUUGAGAAUGGAGCUUCUUCUGCUCAUUCAAGCAACACUGCCACUGAUCAUUCAAGGUGAGCCAUUUUUACCUUUUAGUGACCCUAUCGCGGAACACCUGAUGCUUUGUGCAUUGAACUGUCCUUUUUUUAAUAACCCUAUCACGAAAGAAAAGAAGAAGAAAUAAGAGAGUAUACAAAUCUACGGUUUCACCCCACUUGAAGUUUCCUUUUCUUCAAUUCUUCGUUAUUUAUGUUUCUUAUUAUUUUCUUUUUUCCAUUUAAAUCUUGUGGGGUGUGUGUGGUGUGGGUUGACAAUCUAUCCUUUUGUUGAUUUAAGUUUUCAAACGCCAUGCAAAAGGAUCUAUCAACUGAAUAGGGAAUGAUUUUUCUAGAUUUUAAAAUAAGCAAGUGAUCUUCUAAUUUUAGAAGCUAUUCAAUCAUUUGUAUUUCAGAAUGACUUAUUUCUUUGUAUCUUCGUUUCUCUGUCUUCAGGUUAUUUGUAUAGAUCAUAAUCACCGACUUAAUUUUCUUGCUAAGUUUGAAAUAAUCAAUGUCUUAUAAUUAAUGUUAUUAAAGAAUCUUUUUAAUGGGUGAGUUAAAACCUUGAACGACAGAUAAAAACGACCAGAGGAAUUAUAAAUCAAUACCUCAAAAUAAGUCAGGUGCAUGUGAUGUCACAAAUCACAGUUAAUGGUUGAGUAAUUAAGAGGAUGGUCUUGUAUGGUGUGGUUGUGUCUUUUUCUUUUCAAUGACGGGGUUUGGUGUAUUACGUACGUAACAAAAAAAUAUUCACUUGAUUUUUUGGAUUAACCUUCCUUUGAUUUUGUUCUACUUAUGUUGUAGCAUUACCAGCAGCAAUGUUGACCACACCACUGAAUCACGUCGCAGACAGGUCAAAUCUUUUACUAGCUAGUCAUUGAUUUUGUUAUUAGUUUUUCUGUUUUCAUCAACAAAAAAAACAAUUCGACAUAUAACAAUAUUUAGCUUGUCCACACGUUAAUCUUUACCUUGACUGACUUUGGUUAUUAAUAAUAGGUGAUCUUAUUUUCCAAAGAUGGCGAUAUUUAACUCGUAGACAUAUUAAAUUUUACCUUGGUCAUUAAUUUGGUUUUUCUUUUAUACUAUACUAGGCAUAAUAAAUAUAUGACAUGAUGAUUUGGUCAAUCGACCUACAUAUGAUUCAUCACUAAUAUAAAAAGAGAAAAUAAAAAAAUUUGAAAGAGUAAUCUCCCCUAAACAGAAAUCACUGAAAGACUACAUUAUGGAUAUAUAUUGUUGUUCAUUAAUUUGGUUAUUAGCUUUCUUAUUGCCAUUAUGGAAAAACCCAUGUUUUAGACUCAUCAUUUACAAAAUCGCUUAGAACCUAAAGUUUGACAACUAAAUAUGUAUUUUGAGGUCUAUUCCUAAAACAGUUUUGUGAUGCUAAGCUUAUAAUAAACACGAUUUACAAAUCAUAUUUACUUGGACAAUUCUUUAAGAAUACAUUUUUUUUCAUAAAAUCAAGUCUUUUUAACGUCAAUGGUCUCAUUUGCAAAGAAAAUGGUCGGUGGAUAUUGUCUUAUGUGCAUUUCUUUUAAUCUAAUUUCUGUUAUACAAACAUCAACAGGCGAUUUUCCAGAUGAUGUCACAACAUGCACUUAUGUUUCGACUUGCAAGACGGGCCUGGUCUCUCUCUCUCUCACACACACACUUAAUUUAUUUGUUAAAUAAAAUUGUGCAUUAAAAAUAUAGGAGUAUUGAAUAUGAAAUCUACAGUGUAGAUGCCAAAAAGACUAAUAAUAUUCCAUUUCUUUUGCCAUGUUUAAUUAUAUUCCAUGUAUUUGUACCAAGUCUGAUACUAAUUAAUAACAUAUUUUCUAUUUUCUUUUAUCAUGUCUCAACUUACAUGCAUCAUAAUUCAACUCUAGGCUUGAGGUAAUUAACUAUUAUACUUCCACAAAUUCUUUCCAUUUUCUAAACAAUAAUUGUAAACUCUAUUAACUUUACAUAUUCGUCAUAUAAUUAUAUAUUUCCCUUUUUCCUCUCUCACAGUCGAUGCAAAGAGAGGUGAAUCAAAUUAAGCAGGAGCUGCUUCGUGCAGAAAGGAUGCUUGGGUUUGAAUCUCAUUGUUUUCAUUUCUUGAUAAUAACUUCCUUGUUUUACUUGUUAAAAAACAUUUAUUAUCAAACAUAAUUUAUUAUUUUUUUUAAUAAUAGUAAUUUUAUUUUAUUUACAGUGUCAAGAAACGGUGCAAAUGCAAGUGUCACCUUUAGGAGCUACUUCUGCAAGGCAAGAAGAAUCCCAUGACGAUGCAGAGAGAGGAUAAUAAAUAAAAAUUCUCGACAGAUUCGAGAGUUUAAUUAUUUGUUUUUAUUUUCAGAAAAUAAAUUUGGCUGUAAAGUUGGUUGUUAUACAAUUUGCAUGCGUAGCAACUCUAGCUUGUGAACUUUAUUCUAAUUAGACUGGUUUGUGUUAUUAAUAUGCUUGUUUUAUAUUUUAUGUUUUUAAAGGCAUUUCAGUAUUUAAUGUCAUACUGUCACCUGUAAGAAACACACUUUCAGUUCCUUCAAAAAAGGAAAUCUUAG